ACUGCGCUUCCGUCGCACAGAGCCUGACGAAGGCUUGGGCUCCCCGCGCGGUGACCGUCGAGGUGACCUGCACCUGGCUCCAUGGCGGAACCGGCCGGCACGGAUUAUUCCCCUCUCGGGAGAGGUCUGCAGCCGGGCCUCAGUGCUUCAGUUCGUGGCCUGGCAUUUUGUGAAGAGUGUCUUCAUCUCUGCAUCCCUAGUGCAACAGAGCAUGACAAAAAUUCAACAAAUAUUUAUUGAAGAGUCUUGAUGUCUUUUGGGAAAGGAACUCUAUGGUUACCUUUACUCUAAGAUUAGAUGGGUGUUACUGAUUCUUACCUCAGAGAAGAGAAUGUCAUGGAGACAAAAUGACCUGCUUAGAGUUCUGCACCCCCCAGCAUGGAGAGCAGAGCGCAAAGAUUUCUUCCGGACUCCCACAUUCCCCUUGGAAUCCAAGAACUGGUCUACUGUCACAACACUUUAGUACCCUCUUCUCCCAAGGAGGCAGCAGAAACUGGGGUAAUCACAACGGUCAACAGCAGCAAAGGCAGCAC
rnacentral:lncRNA from 1 species